UGCAGUCGUACGAGAGUUUUUAACUCAAGUGGCGGACGGGUGAGUAACACGUAAGAAUUUACCUUUAGGAGGGGGAUAACAACUGGAAACGGUUGCUAAUACCCCAUAUGCUUUCGAGUGAAAUGGAUUUCCGCCUAAAGAGAAGCUUGCGGCUGAUUAGCUUGUUGGUGAGGUAAUGGCUUACCAAGGCGACGAUCAGUAUCUGGUUUGAGAGGAUGAUCAGACACACUGGAACUGAGACACGGUCCAGACUCCUACGGGAGGCAGCAGUGGGGAAUUUUCCGCAAUGGGCGAAAGCCUGACGGAGCAAUACCGCGUGAGGGAUGACGGCCUAUGGGUUGUAAACCUCUUUUUUCAGGGAGGAAUCAAUGACGUGUACCUGAAGAAUAAGCAUCGGCUAACUCCGUGCCAGCAGCCGCGGUAAGACGGAGGAUGCAAGUGUUAUCCGGAAUCACUGGGCGUAAAGCGUCUGUAGGUGGUCAAAUAAGUCAACUGUUAAAUCUUGAGGCUCAACCUCAAAAUCGCAGUCGAAACUAUUAGACUAGAGUAUAGUAGGGGUAAAGGGAAUUUCCAGUGGAGCGGUGAAAUGCGUAGAGAUUGGAAGGAACACCGAUGGCGAANGCACUUUACUGGGCUAUUACUAACACUCAGANACGAAAGCUAGGGUAGCAAAUGGGAUUAGAUACCCCAGUAGUCCUAGCUGUAAACAAUGGAUACUAGAUGUUGAACAGAUCGACCUGUACAGUAUCAAAGCUAACGCGUUAAGUAUCCCGCCUGGGAAGUAUGCUCGCAAGANUGAAACUCAAAGNAAUUGANNGGGCCCGCACAAGCGNUGGANCNUGUGNUUUNNUUCGAUGC
rnacentral:rRNA from 1 species